CCAAGAAAAAAAGAAAGAUUCCCUGGAUCAAAGAUGUGAUCUCAAAGUAUUCUAUAAGCGAGAUAAUCCUCAUCUGUCUUUUUCAAAAAAGGGAAUUGUUGACCCCAGUCAUAUGUCCUAAAACACAAAGAUUAAUUUAACGCCUAGAGUUUAUGAUUUGGUCUGGAGUUACUUUGAAAUUUUGUUCUUUUAAAUACUAUUUAAACUAUAUUGACAAUUUCUGGCAACACUGUUUACUUAUCUAUAAUGUUAAUCUGCAUCUGGAUCUAUAAAAUGAGAGAGUUGGACUAAAUGAGCUCUUUCAAACGCAAAGUUACAAUCUUAGAGAUCUAAAGCUAUGAUCAUUAUGCCUCUUUUUAAAAGCAGUUCUGUUUAAUAUCAUGUUGCUUUAAAUGGUACAAUUCAAAUCCAUUGAUUUCCUUGAAAAAUUCCUAGUAGUACUAGCAAUAGUAUAUCUAAGUACAUAUCAUUUUUAUGUCAGUCAGUCAGACAACAAGCAUUUAUUGAGCAUUGGUGCCAGAGACUAUGUAAAGCCCCAGGGAUACAAAAAAACAGGAAAGAAAAACAAAAUAAACCCCAAAGUCCCUGCUCUUAACAUACAUUCUAGUGGGAAAGCUGUGUCUGUAUAUGACAUGCCAACGAAAUGAAAGUUAUUUGAAAUGAGAAGGGAAGGAGCUGGAGAAGAUCCAGAAGGCCUUAUGAAGGUGAAUUUUUUUGAUAAAUCUUAAAAGAAGCCAGAGAAACUAGAGAUGGAAGAUAAGGAAGACAGCUUUCCAGGAAUGGGAAAGAAUCCAUAAAAAGUCAUAGAGAGAGGAAAUAGAGUAUCAUGUUUAUGGAACUAUAAACCAGUGUAUUUGAAUCAUAGAGUGUAAAGAAUGGUGUAAAGUGAAAAGGAGUCAGGUUAUAAAGACCUGGGAUUCCAAAGAGAGGAUCCUAUAUUUGGUUAUGUUGGCAAAGGUGAGCCACUGGAUCCCAUUAAGCAGUGGAAUCACAUGGUCAUUCCUGUGCUUUAGAAAAAUGACACUAGCAACUGAGUAGAGGAUGGAUUGAAAUGGGGGAAAGCAUGAGGCAGAGAGAUUAGUUAGAAAAUCAUCAUAAUCCAGGAAGGAGUUGUUGAGGGUCUGAACUAAGGAUGUUGAUAGAGAAAAAGAGAUAUGUGAGACUUAUAAUGAAGGUAGAAAUGAUAAGAUUAAGCAUGGAUAUGUGGGGUGAAUAAGGGUGGAUGACAUCAAGAUUGCAGGUCUGGUGAUUAGGAGAACAGAGGUGACCUUAAGGAAUUUCAGAAGAGUUGAAGAUUUGGAGGGAAAGAGAUUAAGUUCUGUUUUGGACAUGUUGAGCUUGAUAUACCUGUGAGCCAUCUAGGCUCACAGUUUAAGAUGUUCAAAAGACAGUUGGUUAGGUAGCUUAGGAGAAAUGAUAGGAUUGAAUAUUUUAGAAUUUAGAUUUUAGAAUCAUAUAACUGAACCUAAAAAAAAAAAACUAAUGAGUUCACCAAGUAAUAUAAUAUAACGUGAAAAGAGAAGGAUAUCUAGGAUGGAGCUUGAGGGACAACCAUGAUUGGAAAUGUAUGAUGAAUAAAGAACCAAGAAAAGGCUGAAAAGUGGUCAGAACAAUAGAAGGAGAACCAUGAGAAGGAGAACAGUGCCGAAUGCUACACAAAAGCCAGAGAGUAUUGCAAUUGAGAAAAGACCAUUGUAGGAAGGAAAAAAUGUGACUAUCCAUUAAUAAACAGAUCCUAUUGAAAAUGUAAAACUUCAUAUUAACAGCAAAAUACCAAGAUUAAAAACAAGAUAAAAA